AACGAACGCUGGCGGCGUGGAUAAGACAUGCAAGUCGAACGGGAUUUUAUUUGUAGCAAUACACGUAAAGUCUAGUGGCGUAAGGGUGCGUAACACGUGGGCAAUCUGCCGAGAAGUGGGGGAUAGCUCGCCGAAAGGCGAAUUAAUACCGCAUGUGGUUAGUGAAGACAUCUUCGCGGUACCAAAGCCGGGGCAACCUGGCGCUUCUUGAUGAGCCCGCGGCCUAUCAGCUAGUUGGUGAGGUAACGGCUCACCAAGGCUAUGACGGGUAGCUGGUCUGAGAGGACGGCCAGCCACACUGGAACUGAGACACGGUCCAGACACCGACGGGUGGCAGCAGUCGAGAAGUUUUCUCAAUGGGGGAAAGCCUGAAGGAGCGACGCCGCGUGGAGGAUGAAGGUCUUCGGAUUGUAAUCUCCUGUCAUUUGGGAACAAUUGUUGGCGAUUAACUGUCGUCAGCUUGAUAGUACCAGAAGAGGAAGAGACGGCUAACUCUGUGCCAGCAGCCGCCGUAAGAC
rnacentral:rRNA from 1 species